rnacentral:lncRNA from 1 species
AGAUGACCAACUUCUUGAUUAGCAAACUCUCUAACAAUGGCCUGGGUAAGUGGAUCAAGAUUUGCUUUUUGAGCACCAAUAGGAGGAGGCCCAGCCAUAGGCAAAUUUGGUGCAACUACAUCAAGCCCAUAUCCAAAAGACGACCACAAAAAGUACUCAGCUUCCAAAAACUCCAAGUUCACUGCAAAUUGCAUCUUGUCUAGGUCCUCUUUGUCUACUGCCACUCCCUUAUCUGGGUAGCCUGAUUGAAAAGUAGCAUUUGUUGCAUAUGAAAAUGAUACGAAGAAAGUUUCACAGAGGACUAUGUAAGUGACUAAGAAAUAGGUAGGGGUUGACAGAAAAGCCAUGUUUAAUUUUAACUUGAACAAGAAAUUGGUAUUAAGCUAAUGUAGAAUUCAAGAUGUUGUGGGAAUGAUAAUGUUCAUGUUGGUUCAAUAUAUACAUAUAAUAUUCUGAAGUUGGAAGUUAAUUCGGGAAACGCCAAAAACCAGAUCCCUUUGAUCAAUGUAUUCUUCGUACGGAACACACCCUAGUGUUAACAUAUAUAAAUGAAGAUAUAUAUAUAUAUAUAUGUGUGUGUCAUAUAUAUAUAUUGUAUCGCGUGAUUAAAAUUGGCAUAUCUAUUGUGUUUUCUUAUGUUCCCUAGCUACAUAAUAAUAAUAUCAAUGUCUUUUUUAGAUAAGCUGUAUGAAUUUAUGUGAUGGAGAAUCUUUGUUCGACUGAUAAUGAAGCUAUGCAUCCUUAAUAAAGGGGUGUCAUUUUGAGACUCCUCCGAUAAAAAAUUACACUAUAGUCCAAAUAAAAUUACAAAAUAUAUAUAUGACCAAUAUUAGGACAAUCAUAACUCCACAUUUGUCUGUUAAAUAUACAUGUAACAAUAUUAGUACGAUCACAACGCCAAUUUUGACAAAAUCAACACCUGAAGGUAUAACAAGACAUUGAAUUUUUUUCGUUAAAAAUAGGUCAUGUUGAAGUACUACUUGUUUUCAAUUUUCAAUGACAUGUUUUGAUAUCUUAAAUCCCAUAAUUGUGGCAGGAAGUACUUGAUGGCCGGCUCGGUGUUACUAGUCAUCGUUGGAGGGGCGGUGUAAAUAAUGUGCAAAGUGAUUCCUCUGUGGUAGCUUAGUCAGAUGUUGAACUGACUUUAAUAGAUAUAUAGAAUUUGUAUGUGGAUGAGCAAGCUUUACUUGUUGAUAUACCGCUGGAUUUAUGCCUCUUAAGUCAUGUUGAUUUUCUUCGUUUGUGUUCUUUGUGGCCUUUGAUAGCGUGUACAGUUAUGUGUUUAUGUUUCUUGUACUUAUUAAAAUUUGCGCUUCUGCUUGUAUCUUUUAGAAAUGAAAACGGCACUAAUCCAACGGUUUAGAAUUGCAGUGUAUAUGUGCAAACCAAGAGUAAGAGAAUAUACAUAAUUAGUGGACAAUAAAACUAAUAAAACAAUACUCAGUUAGAUUCUGAAAAAUAUUCAUGACAAAGGUAAUUUAAGACUGCUUUUACUUUAGGUAGCUUAAGAAACAAUGUAUCACCUAAUCCCCGCUGAGCGGCAGCAUGGUCUGCUGCUGUAAAUCAACACCCAACAAUCCUGCCAAAAGCUACAAAAGGAAAAUAAUAAUACUUUGUAAGCAUGAAAAAAUGAUUAAUUGACAAAAAUAUAGGCUACUCAAUUUGCAAUUCAUUUGAUUUAGGGAGUACAUGAUAAUGACAGUCAUUGACUUGUAGGUGCAUCACCUACUUUGACCUUUUGAGUAGUUUGAUCUCUUGGACAGGACAUUGUCAUUGACUUAUCCAUUUCAUAACUCAGUUCAUUCUAACCGUCCAAAUUCGACUUAACCCCCUAUCACCUCUAGAACAAAGAUUCUUUUCUAUCAUCGGCCAACAAACUCUUACUAUUAUAGAAAGAUUCAAAGGUGAAAUUAGUAUAGUAAACCUUGGAUGACCAACUUCUUGAAUAGCAAACUCUCUAACAAUAGUCUCAGUAAGUGGAUCAAGAUUUGCUCUUUGGGCACCAAUAGGAGGAGGUCCACCCAUAGCCAAAUUUGAUGCAACUGCAUCAAGCCCAUGUCCAAAAGAAGACCACAAAAAGUACUCAGCUUACAAAAACUCUAAAUUCACUGGAAAUUGCAUCUUGUCUAUGUCAUCUUUGUCUACUGCCACUCCCUUAUCUGGGUAGCCUGAUUGACAAGUAGCAUUUGUUGCAUAUGAAAAUGAUACGAAGAACGUUUCACUGAGGACCAUGUAAGUGACUAAAAUAAGAAAUAGGUAAGGGUUGACAGAAAAGCCAUAUUUAAUUUAACUUGAACAAGAAAUUGGUAUUAAGCUAAUGUAGAACAAGAAAGUUUUUUUUUUUUUCAAGAUGUUGUGGGAAUGAUAAUGUUACGUUGGUUCAAUAUAUAUAUAAUAUUCUGAAGUUGGAAGUUUAUUCGGGAAACGACAAGAACCAGAUCCCUUUGAUCAAUGUUUUCUUCUUACGGAACACACCCUAGUGUUAACAUAUAUAAAUGAAGAUAUAUAUAUAUAUAUAUAUUGUAUCGCGUGAUUAAAAUUGGCAUAUCUAUUGUGUUUUCUUAUGUUCCCUAGCUACAUAAUAAUAUCAAUGUUUUUUUUUAGAUAAGCUAUAUGAAUUUAUGUAAUGGAGAAUUUUCGUUCGACCGAUAAUGAAGCUAUGCAUCCUUAAUAAAGGGGUGUCAUUUUGAGACUUCUCCGAUAAAAUAUUACACUAUAUUCCAAAUAAAAUUACAAUAUAUAUAUGACCAAUAUUAGGACAAUCAUAAAGGGGUGUCAUUUUGUGUAUAUAUCUUCUAUAGACGUGUAUAUUUGAUGUAUACAUGUGUAUAUGUUUUAUAAAUUAGUAUAUAACUCUAUAUAUAUACUUAUAUAUAUUGUAGUAUAUAUAUGCUGUAGUAUAUGUUUUAUUUAAAGUAGUACGUAUAUAUAUGUAAUUGUGUAUAUGUGUAUAUAUUUUUAAAUUCUAAUGUAGUAUAUACUAUAUAUAUAGUAUAUAUGUAUUGUUUAACAUAUUUAAAAUGUAUAUAGGUGGGUAUAUAUAGUGUAUAUUGAAAAAAAAAAAAAUUUAUACUGGAUUUGACCGAAUUUAGGUGGAUUUGACCGGGUUAGGUUAAGUGGGCCAAAUUAGAAUUGUUUUUAAAAAUUUUUCUAUUGAGCCCUGACCCAAUCUGGCCCACAAGCCGGUUAAUUUUAACGGGUCAGUUUCGAGUUGACCCAACCCGGCCCACUUGACAACCUAUAGACAACCUCUCAAAUCUAACAAUAAUACUAUUUCAUUUUGGUACUGUACUCUUUACUGUACUAAUAUUUAUUUGAAACUUCAUACUAUUAAAUCUAACAUAAUAUUCCAUGAAGAAAUUAAGGAACACAAUUAACUAUGAAAAAUUUUAAACAACAGGUUGAGGAAAUUAAAUAGAACAAUGCUUCCUAACUCAGCUUUUAUAUAAAGCUGCUAUAACCCCAAUACUGAAUCUGCAUGAAAGCAAUUAUUUGGCGUAUGCUAAAACAAAGAUUAUGCAUGUUUAUUUUUCUUCAUGAAAUUUAUUACUAAUAUAGAUAGACAGAUAGAUAGAUAAUCUUUUAAUUAUUCUCAUGUCUUUUUCAGAAAUCCCCUGGCAAUUUUUCCAUUAGCACCUUUAGGAUAAAAUCCACCAGGCACAUGUUCAUCCCCAGAGCUGUACACAAUCCUCAGAAUCUCAGCAGGUGUUCUUUUGUAUGAAAGUGAAUCGAAAUCAGCUGAUAACACGUUACUUAUAGUCCGAUUUUCUGCUCCGAGUUGUGGUGGAACGAAUAGGCCUUCAUCUUUGAUCCCACAUUUUCCUAAUUUAUUCCUUAGUGUUGAUAUACGAGAAGUGAAUUCAGCCACUGUGUAUUUGUAAGGGGAAACUAAUCGUGUUGCUCUUUCAUAGAGGUACAUCCUGAUAACUGCGUCUUGUCCUGAUUCAACACCCAAUAAUCCUGCCAAAAGCUACAAAAGGAAAUAUAUAUAUUGUAAGGAUGAAAAAAAUAUUAAUUUUGGUUUUCUAAGUUGGGUUUGACAAAAAUAUAAGCUACUCACUUAGCAAUUCAUUUGAUUUAUGGAGUACAUGAUAAUGACAACUUUGAAGAAAGGUGAAAAUUAAUAGAAGUAAGAAAAUAUUCUUGUCAUACUUUGGAAAAGGGAAAAGAACUAAUUUAUUAAUGACUAGCCCGUUAAACCUAUUUUAUUAUUAUUAUUAUUAUUGUUCGAAUCAUUUCCCUUGGGUUGUGAAAUAUGUUAUCUUGCUCAUGAAUCUAUUGUUCUAGCUCUAAUUAGGUAAUUUUCGAAUCAUUUCCCUUGGGUUGUAGUUUUUGUUGAUGCUAUUUUACUAUUACUACUUUCCUUCCUCGCAUAUAUGAAAUCAUGCCAAAUAAUCUGAAAAUGGAAUUUUUUUUUGAAUUUUUAACUCCACUUGACCCAUGGACAAACCUUCUACGUUAAAGAUUAAAAAUUGAUAAACUUGAAGUAUUAUUUUUAGGAAAAACGAGAUCAAGAGUUCAAGAUCACGAGGGUGUACGGAGGAUUAAUUAAUAAUACACAUUUACUUACCCUUUUGGUUUUGUAUCCAUUGAUAUUGGGAUUGGUACCAACAUAACCAACCAAUCCAACAUAGGGGAUUACAUAGCAGGAUAACAUGUAGCUCAAGCCGUUUCUAUAUGGAUCAAAGGGAGGAUCCAAUUUGAGCCCAAAUGCUUCGUCAAAUAACUUGCCAAAAUUUUCGGCACUAAGAUCCAAUAAUGGUCUUGGAAAUAUGCCAACUGUCGAUUUAAGUGCUCUGCAAAACAACCAAACACACAUAAAAGGAAAACAUAAAGACAUGGAAAACGUAUAUUUGUGUUAUAUUUGACAUGAAUAUAUAAAUACUUUACAUCAUUAGUACAUAAAACUAGAAUUUCAUUCUGUAGAGAAGGAGGACCUACUGAAUAAGUCUCCAAUCAAUAUCCGGCAGGUGAGAAAAUGGAUUUGCCUCUUUCAUUUAGUGUUCAUUGUCGAAUCGGACGCUUAACCCCGUCCCCAACUACGGGGAAGUCACACUUUAACUUCCUGCCUGUAGGACUCUAAUUUUUUUUGGUAAUUUGUUUCACUUAUUAUGAACAAAUCACAUGAAAUUGUCAUUUAGUUGAACCAUAGAAUAAAGUAGUGCCAAUAAAAUUAGUCCAUGAAAUACUAAUCCAAUUACACCCAAUCUAUCAAGUUUGGAAUAAGUAUUGAUGCACACAUUUAUUAACUCAACACAUAUCUCCCUAACCCGUUUUAAUUCAUUAAAAUUUGGGUUGAUAUCUAUUCCAAAUUGAUUCAUGAAAAAGCUUAUUAAAAUAUUUUUAAAUACAUAUUUUUUAUCUAAUAUGUUUUAUACAGUCAUAACGAAAUAAAAUUAUUAGGUAUUAAUAAAUUAUAUAAAAAAAAUUAAAACUUGAUAAAAAGUGAGCCAAUUGAAUUUUGAGUAGCCUUUUAGCCUAUUUCAAUCCUAUCUAUAUGUUGAUAGUAUUUAUUCUAUCUAUAUAUCAGAUGAAGUAACUUUUGAACAUGUCUUUAUCAUUGAUGAUCCACCGAUUUAUAAAUUUAGUUUAUUUUAACUCGUUUAAAUUAGACUCAACCUAACUUUAUCACCUCUAGAAUUAAGAUUCUUUUGUAUUGUCAGCCAACACUCUCUUACUAAUAUAGCAAGACAAAAGGGAGAAAUUAGUUAGAAAAAUGAACCUUAGAUGACCAACUUCUUGGUUAGCAAACUCUCUAACAAUGGCCUGGGUAAGUGGAUCAAGAUUUGCUUUUUGAGCACCAAUAGGAGGAGGCCCACCCAUAGGCAAAUUUGGUGCAACUACAUCAAGCCCAUAUCCAAAAGAAGACCAUAAAAAGUACUCAGCUUCUAAAAACUCCAAGUUCACUGCAAAUUGCAUCUUGUCUAUGUCAUCUUUGUCCACUGCCACUCCCUUAUCUGGAUAGCCUGAUGGACAAGUAGUAGUAUCUGUUGCAUAUGAAAAUGUUACAA